CCCCGGUUAAAAUAGCUUACAUCCAAAAGAUAGGCAAUAACAAAUGUUGGAGAGGAUGUGGAGAAACGGGAACCCUUGUACACUUCCUGGAACUGUAAAUUA